ACCUGAAUAGUUUAAUUAAAAUUUUGAUUUGUGGUGUCAAAGAUGUACUAUUGUACUUUAGGUC
rnacentral:tRNA from 1 species